UCCCUGGUGGCUUAGACGGUAAAAGAGUCUGCCUGCAACGUGGGAGACCCAGGUUCGAGCCCUGGGUUGGGAA
rnacentral:tRNA from 1 species